rnacentral:rRNA from 1 species
GAUGAACGCUGGCGGCGUGCCUAAUACAUGCAAGUCGAGCGAACGGACGAGAAGCUUGCUUCUCUGAUGUUAGCGGCGGACGGGUGAGUAACACGUGGAUAACCUACCUAUAAGACUGGGAUAACUUCGGGAAACCGGAGCUAAUACCGGAUAAUAUUUUGAACCGCAUGGUUCAAAAGUGAAAGACGGUCUUGCUGUCACUUAUAGAUGGAUCCGCGCUGCAUUAGCUAGUUGGUAAGGUAACGGCUUACCAAGGCAACGAUGCAUAGCCGACCUGAGAGGGUGAUCGGCCACACUGGACCUGAGACACGGUCCAGACUCCUACGGAAGGCAGCAGUAGGGAAUCUUCCGCAAUGGGCGAAAGCCUAACGGAGCAACGCCGCGUGGGUGAUGAAGGUCUUCGGAUCGUAAAACUCGGUUAUUAGGGAAGAACAUAUUUGUAGUAACUGUGCACAUCUUGACGGUACCUAAUCAGAAAGCCACGGCUAACUACGUG